rnacentral:lncRNA from 1 species
UUUUCUGUUUUCCUUUUCUGUUAUUUGUUUUGAUUUAGUUUUAGGCACUAAACCAUUUUGCUUUCUUUUGAUAAUUUUGCAGGGACUGAAAGGAUUAUCCCAAAGCCCCUCACAAUUUCUCAGAAUUAUUGGACACAUAUUCGAUAUAUAGCAAAUAUAAAUCCAAUGCAAAUAGUUAUUGCAUUAGCUUCAAAUGCCCAAAAUAAAUAUUUAUGAGCUCCUAAAAAUAUUGGUUUGAAUUUUAAUUCUAGCCAAUAGUUCCAUAGAGAAACAUGAACAUUUUCUUGGACCUAUUUGAAGCAAUUUUAUCUUGGUCUUUUUCAGAAAUGAUUUCUGAGGCUUUCACAUGUCCCCAUUUCAAAUUCAUUGAAAUUUAAACAUGAUGCACACAUGACUAGCUAGCCUAGAGCAAACCAGAACUAGGGAUGUGACAACUCACCCCCACUAAACAAAAAUCUCGUCCCGAGAUUCAAGCGUAGGGUAAGAUGAAAGGGGAACGCAAAGUAACAUAAUCUUCAUGAUCCAAUUGUUCUUCUCGAAGAUGUUGAUUCAUUGCAUCAUCUUGAUCUUGACAUAUUUUCUUUCGAGAGCUUCAUCCAACUAUGAUGACGGAAGAGAGGGAAACUCUACAGGAUCGAUCUUCUUGAAGAUCGGGCACUCCAGAUCAACUCAUGGAGUGAGACGUUGGAACAACUCUUGAGUUGAGACAGUGGAUGGAAAGAAAACAGAUGACAAAGGUUUCAAGUAGCGAGGAAAAAUUGACAUGACUCCAUAACGGAGCACCUUAGGAAAGGUGACUCGUAGAAUUAUUCCCUUAAGUGGCAAAAAGAAUUACUUUUGAUACAAAGAUCGUUGAAACUCUUUAUACCACCCUAAGGCAAUCACAAAUGAUCGUUCGAGGGAGUUCGGGAGAACGACACACUCGGGCUAGAAUGGACGAUGUGGACUACCUUGUUGAAGACAACGAAAUGGAUGAUUUUUGCUUAUCAUCAGAAAUGAAUGGGACUCAUGGUAAGUCCACCUUUGAAGAUGGACCUGGACAGCAACUGCUGAGAAGGGCAGCCCAUGGAAAAUUGGCACGAUGGGGUGCAAGCUGGGAACAAAAUGCAACCGUUGGGAAUGUUCCAACCAUCAUAUCUGCCUGAGAUUCAGAUCCGAUUGGUGAUAGGAUACUUCAGACUCAGCAUGUCUGAAAAGAAAGUUUGCAACACAAUUCGAUGAGAUGGCGUUGCGAGAUUCUCGAGGAAUGAACUAAGAUAGCAAGCUCCAAAACAUGAGCUGGUUCUACUAAACACAUGUGAACACGCUGUCCCAGACAAGCAUGACCACAUAGUAGUCUUAUGAUAAAACACUACCGAGUUCAGGUGGGGAACCAUCAUCUAGGGUAACGAAGUCUUGUGCAUGACCUAGGAUUUGCACAACAACUCCUUUUCCUUGAACAAAUCAAUCAGUGGCUUGGUGUGCUAGGAACACAUAUAGACUGGAGGUAGCGAGCCUAUCAAACCAUAGCAUACUUCGCACAUGCAUGACUGACUUGGGAUGGUUCCAGAGAAAACAAAAACAAUCCUUCUCGGAUCCACGGCGACACCUUACAUCAAGUGCACGUGAAUUAAAGGAAGCCACUUCUUUCAUCCAAACAUAUCCUUCAUGAGAUAGCACGAAGAAAAUGCUAGCACAAGUUUCCAACACUAACUUAAUGUUCAACACGAGUCAUGGAGAAGAUAAGAAUGUUGCCGAUGGGCUCAGCAACAAUUUAUCAAAAUUCCAAUGGAGAUGGACUUCCACAAUUAAGUGAACAUGGUGAUAGCAUUGGUUAGACCAAAGGAUGUAAUGGUGUAUGCUCGAGGAAUCAACCAUGAGUAAGACAACAUUGGAAUAUCGUUGGUUCUAACUUGAUUUGACGAUGGCCCACACUCAAAUCAAGGUUUGGGCAAGACGAUAGGUUCAACAACUGAUCACAAGGAACAAUCGAUGAAGAAAUCAUCUUUCUACAACAAACACACAAACACAAGAUAUCCCUUUGGAAUGAACUAAGUUAGGCAAGCUUUAUCUUCCAACUCUCCAAGUUGUUGUUCAGCUUAACCAACUAGCUCAGGGGUAUCCAACACAGAUUCUUGGAGAAGGGGUGGUUUAUAAGAAAACCAACUUGAUCACGAGCUCAACAUAACAGUCAGGGGAUAACCUAGUAACACUUCCGAGAAGAUAUUCGGAAAAUCACGAACCACCGGUACGUUGCUAAGCUCGAGAUCAAUCUUGCUUUUCAGGGCAAGACGAUGUGAUCAAGAGAGUGAUGGAUUGACACAAUCCUAUCUCAUUAAUCGAGGAGUGCACCAGAAAUAAGGACUAGGUAGCACGAUCAAUCUUAGGAUGAUGAUUUAAUAACCAGCACACAAAGAAUGAGAGUGUUGUCCAUUAACUACCAAGCAACACGGUUGCUAGGAGUAUUGAUUUCACACAUCAUGGUUCACUUGUCGGCAUUCCGGUUGUGACAAGACGGGGCCAAGAAAUGAAUGAUGAUGGCGAGGAGUAACACUGCGUCAAGAAUUCACAAAAGGUGGUGCAAUUCCUACGAUAUUCUCGACAUAAAGGGGGUAAUACUCGAAGGUAGAACAUAACAAAAGCUGGUUAGGCAUUUGAUCUGCGGAAUACAACUACUUUGACCCAAUCCCAAAGGUGGACGAGGUACUGGAGUUUGUUUCUCCUAGUCAUUCUGGAUUAGAAUGGCUUGACAGACCACAAGAAUAAUAGGCAUCGAUAACACAAAUGCACAAUUACUCCUGACUAUCAAUUGAUAGACGAGGGCCAGAAAAUAACUAAAGAGGGACAACUCAAAGAAACAUACGAUUUUCUGAGUUGUGGGUGCAUAGAUUAGCAUGUCGAACGAGUUCAACAUAUUUCUUCCGGAUAACCCAUGCAGAAGAAGAAGGACUGGCAGAUUCACAAUUUGAAUGGGGUACUCCUCAAGAGCGCCCUGGUUGUGAUCUUUUGGUUAAAAAGAACUUCUGCCAUAAGCAGUUCAUGGUAUUUGGAAGAAGGAAAUACCACGGACCUCGAGGACUAUCGCAAAGGUUACUAAUAUCUUAAGGGAACUAGCAAAUAUUAACAACAUGAAGUAGGGUGAAUCUCGGGUUCAAAAACCCAGGAGUAGAAUACCUACUACUAAGUAGCAUCACGGGAUGCUUUCGGGAAUAAUGGCCAGAAUCAUCACACUGGGGAUACAAAGCAUUGCUAGAUUACUAAGUGACUCCCUAAAACACCUAGGGUCAUAGUAAUAGCUCCAACAUAUAUACCGAGGCAAUAGAGUGCCUCAACGCACCGAUAGUGUGCUUAAUCUGGCCCAAUGGGACGCAAAAACAGAGGGAAAGGAUUUUGCAAAUGCAUCAGACUAUUUAGAAACCUGGGAUGACUCGGACAACAUAACGGCUGUAAAUGCUCAGAAAAGAUUCGAGACAUCCUGCAAAAUGGUGGCAUAACAACUUAACAUCACAAUAUCAUGGUUUCGAGAUCAACUGUCAACACAUGGAAGUAGUAGAAACUGAACUGAGGCUUCAGACCAACAAUCCUACGAGUCUACGGAUUAGUAACACGUGAUCCUGAUAGAAAGAUGAGAAGCCUAGUUCUUAAUCCCCGUAGAGGAGAAGAGGUUGACUCAUAUCAGAAGGGCAUAAGGUAAAGGAGUAAAAAGAGCCUUACGUUCCCUCCCACAAUCAAUUCCCAUAUAUAACUAAAGCAUUUCUAGACACAACUUCGACCAGUUUGGCUUGGUAAUCCUACAGGAAGUCAGGCUCUGAUACCAAAGCUGUCAGGACCCCGAUUCUAAGUCACACCGAUCUAGCCUGUAACACCUCAUAUCACUUUGCGGCCUCACGCACGGUAUUCCCACGGGUGUCGCCUUACCCUGGCCCGGGACCGUUUGCGCCUUUUGGCUCACGCAUAUGAUAGUGUCGCUAGCAUCCAUAUGACAGAGAACCCGGGCCGACAUGACUAGUCGUGAACCCAAAGUGGCACUAACUUACGGGGACAGGCAUACAUGAAUCAACAUCGAGCAUGUCGGUCAGCAGCGUGCGAAUCCGGGCUGUAGCUCUGGGCUAACAGGACUCCGGGAACCCGGGCUGUAGCAGGCUAGGCAGGACUCCGGAUGUCACCGCGUGACAUUUCCCCGAAGGGACAGACACAGGAACGAAGUGAAUCACAUGCCGGCCAGUCAAGUGUUCCGGAGCAGUAGUGCUGGGCUAGCAGGACUCCGGUGAACCGGGCUGUAGCGGACUACUAUGGCUCAUGGAAGCACAAGACUACAUUUCCCCAUAAGAGAGGCUACCAAGGAUAAACAACUAGGUUGUCGGAUCCCACACAUACCAAGCAUUUCAAUCAUACACACAAUAUGCUCGAUAUGUGCAAAUACAACAUGGCAUCACAACAAGACUCUACGACUCAGAGUAUUUAUUCAUUAGGCUCCGAAGAGCGAGAUAUUACAAACAUGGGUCUCAUGACCCAACAUUCAGAGCAUACAAGUCAAAGCACAUGCGGAAGCUUAACAUGUCUGAGUACAGACAUCUACAAAAGAAGACGGCUGCGAAGCCUGACUAUCUACAAGACCCUGCCGAGGGCACAAGAUCGUAGCUGAGGUAUCAAGCUAAACGUCAAAGUCCACACGGAACUACUAGCGAGACUGACGUCUCUCUGCAAAACAUAAAAUAAGCAAACGUGAGUACAAAUGUACCCAGCAAGACUUACAUCAGAACUAUCUACAUAUGCAUCGGUAUCAACAAAGGGGGUGGUGGAGUUUGACUGCAGCAAGCCAGCUUUGACUCGAUGGCUAUCCUGAACUACGACUGCAAGUAACUCUUUUGAGGUGGCGCACACGAGUCCACAAUUCACCAUACCAAUACACCACUAUGGAUCCGCUCCCGUCUCCCUACGAGAACGCCAUCCAUAGCACUCACGCUUUUCUUGCGCAUUUUAGAGUAUCCACUUUCGCUUGUCUAUGAACUGUACAGGCAACCCAGAAGUCCUUUACCGCGGACACGGCUAUUCGAAUAGAUCAUAUUAACCCUGCAGGGGUGUACUUCGUCACACACGCUCUCGCCACUUACCACCAUGUACACGUCGUGUACCUCGGCAACCUUCAAGCGGAAGCCUGGCGAGGGAGUCGGCCACGACCUGACUAACCACACAAGUCUCUAGUCCAGGUUUAUCGCCUAUUCGGGUUCCAUCCGCAAGGAGAUCCGGCCGGGGUGUCGCUCACGGCCCCAAACGAUGUGUGCAGGGUUCCCGAGCCCACCAUCCGGGUGCCACUCGGUACACCAGGCCACGUGUGCCUAGUCUGUCCCAAGCCCACCUGUACCGGGUGCCACUUGGUAGACUACUAACACUACCUACAAACACCAGAAACUAGUUGCAACUCCUGGACAGAGAUCAGGUUGAUUAAUAAGUCGAGAGAGCUUGGAGCGCCCGGAGCCCAAUGUGUGGUAGUAACUGUUCAUGGAUCACAAACACAGAACUCAGUUCCUGAGGACGGUUUCAAUGAGACAACCCACCAUGUACUCCUACAUGGCCUCUCACCGCUACCUUUACCAAAUCGUGUUCACACACUUAGCUCUCAACAGUAGGACAUGUUCACCACAUUCCAAUUCAUCCCCGAUGAAUCGGACCUGACUCAACUCUAAGCAGUAGCAGGCAUGACAAACAAGCACAAAUGAGUAGGCACAUCAGGGCUCAAACAACUCCUACUCAUGCUAGUGGGUUUCAUCUAUUUACUGUGGCAAUGACAGGUCAUGCAGAGGAAAGGGGUUCAACUACCACAGCAUGUAACAGUUGAAUCGCUGUUGUCCUAAUGCAGUAAAAGAGAGCAGGAGCGAGAGAGUGGGAUUAUAUCGGACUGAACAAGGGGGUUUUGCUUGCCUGACACUUCCGAAGAUAGUAUAGCUCUUCAUCGGUGUCAUCGAUCGCAUCGUCGAAGCAACGUCUACUGAGAGGGGACAACACCGGCAAACAGAGGAGAAACACGAUCAAUGCAAUGCAAAAUAUGAUGCAUGCUAUGACAUGGCAAUAUGAAUGUGUUUUGAGCUAAUGCAACUAGCAACAUAUUAAAUGGAGUUGGUUUGAACCUUGGGUUCAAAUUCAAACUUCAUAUGUGGAAAUUCGAAUGCCAUUUACAUGAUUUGUCCUAAACAGCAGCCAUAAAUUGUUCUAACAUGCAUGAAAAUGGCACAGAUGGAUAGAUUGGAUUUUUCUGAUCAUUUUUCAUAUAUAAAUCUUUUCAUUCUGAGCUAUAGAUUAUUUUCUAUGGUUUUUUGAAGUUUGUGGUAUUUUCUGGAAUUUCCUGUAUAAAAAUAAUUCCAGUAAUUAAAUUGCUGCGUCACACUACAUCAGGAUGACGUCAGCAAGUCAACAGCGGCUGGUCCAGGUCAAACCUGACAGGUGUGGCCCACCUGUCAUUGACUCAGUGCUAACCAGGGUUUUGUUAAAUCCUAACUAAAGUAAUAAGAAGGGCUGGGGCCCACAGUCAGCGAGUCAGUGGGUUAGCUAAAAUUUGAUUAGCAUCUAAACUAAAUUAGCAGGGCCUCGGGCCCACAUGUUAAUGACCCAGGGGGGUCAAACCCUGGUCAACUCGGUCAAACAUGCCGGCGACUCGACGCCGGCGAGGCCAGACGCGGCGGGGCACCUCGGGUUUCGCCUACAGGGCACGGCUUGCGACACAGUUGGGUUCUACGGCGAGCUGGGGCUCGUGCGCAUCCAGCGGUGGUAGUGAAAGGGCACGAGGUGGUCUGUAGCGGCGGCAGCGGCGAGUUGGGCGGCGGCCGGAGCUCUGGCGUCGACAAAAUCGACGACACGGCGCGCGGGAGGACCAGCGUUUUGUACCUACGUGAUCUACGAGAGCUCACGAACCCAACGGAGGCACGCACGGGACCAAAUGGCCACCGGAGCCUCGUCGGCGACAGGCUCGUGCGGCGGCGUGCUUCGGCAUCAAUGGAAAAUGCAGCUACAACGAGCGCUAGGCCGCGGGAUUAGGGGGAAACGACGGCGAAGCUCAUAGUGAUCACGAAGAGGGGCUCGGCUUGCUCGGGGACGGCUUGGCGACGGUGAAUCGACGUCGGCGGUGACCGGCUCCCGAGGUUGAGGACGGUGGCGAUGACGACGCUACGGAGCGUCCCGGCUGGCUUGGCUCGGUGGAGAUGACGAGGAAGACGACGCGGAGCUCGUGGGCACAACAGAGGGCGAGGGGGUAGCUGUGGCCGUGGUGGUUCUCGUCGGCGGUCUCGGGUGCGUACGGUCGGUCAUGGAAGAGAGAGUCAGAGAGGGGAUGGGGACGAGCAAGCGGUUGAGGGACGCGCGGGAGAGUGCGUGGCGUCCGUAGCCAGCAUGAGGCGUUCGGCGGCAAGCAGGAGGUGGCCAGGCGCGUGCCAGCGCGCCGCGGCCACGCGCUCCUGUCCUCCUGGCGUGAGGAGGGAGAUGACUGGCAGUGCCAGGUGGGCUGGGCCGUAAGCUACGGGUGAGCGCCAGGUAAGUUUCUCUCUUUUCCUAUUUUUCUGUUUUCUGUUUUCCUUUUCUGUUAUUUGUUUUGAUUUAGUUUUAAGCACUAAACCAUUUUGCUUUCUUCUGAUAAUUUUGCAGGGACUGAAAGGAUUAUCCCAAAGCCCCUCACAAUUUCUCAGAAUUAUUGGACACAUAUUCGAUAUAUAGCAAAUAUAAAUCCAAUGCAAAUAGUUAUUGCAUUAGCUUCAAAUGCCCAAAAUAAAUAUUUAUGAGCUCCUAAAAAUAUUGGUUUGAAUUUUAAUUCUGGCCAAUAUUUCCAUAGAGAAACAUGAACAUUUUCUUGGACCUAUUUGAAGCAAUUUUAUCUUGGUCUUUUUCAGAAAUGAUUUCUGAGGCUUUCACAUGUCCCCAUUUCAAAUUCAUUGAAAUUUAAACAUGAUGCACA